AUGCCCUUGCUCUUCUUUAUGAAAUCUUUCCUAUUAUAUAUUGAUGCAUCAACUAUCAUUGCAGAUCGUGAGAUCCCUAUUUACAUGGAUGACUCAGCGGCUGGCCUGUACAGAGUUGCGUGGCAGGCAUGUGUUCCCAGCCACCUUACCAAUUGUAGGCUUAGAAUGAUUUGCUUCGUCCCAAGUGUUGUUCGUCGACAAUUACUUUGUAUGUCCAUGUCGAUUCUGAAUUUAGAGGACACAUAUGUUUUGGUAGGAAGUGUAUUGUUCUUCUAUUUUUUCCUGGUGUAUACUGACUCGUGCAGAUUAUGA
rnacentral:rRNA from 1 species